rnacentral:rRNA from 1 species
GACGAACGCUGGCGGCGUGCCUAAUACAUGCAAGUCGAACGAACUCUGGUAUUGAUUGGUGCUUGUAUCAUGAUUUACAUUUGAGUGAGUGGCGAACUGGUGAGUAACACGUGGGAAACCUGCCCAGAAGCGGGGGAUAACACCUGGAAACAGAUGCUAAUACCGCAUAACAACUUGGACCGCAUGGUCCGAGCUUGAAAGAUGGCUUCGGCUAUCACUUUUGGAUGGUCCCGCGGCGUAUUAGCUAGAUGGUGGGGUAACGGCUCACCAUGGCAAUGAUACGUAGCCGACCUGAGAGGGUAAUCGGCCACAUUGGGACUGAGACACGGCCCAAACUCCUACGGGAGGCAGCAGUAGGGAAUCUUCCACAAUGGACGAAAGUCUGAUGGAGCAACGCCGCGUGAGUGAAGAAGGGUUUCGGCUCGUAAAACUCUGUUGUUAAAGAAGAACAUAUCUGAGAGUAACUGUUCAGGUAUUGACGGUAUUUAACCAGAAAGCCACGGCUAACUACGUGCCAGCAGCCGCGGUAAUACGUAGGUGGCAAGCGUUGUCCGGAUUUAUUGGGCGUAAAGCGAGCGCAGGCGGUUUUUUAAGUCUGAUGUGAAAGCCUUCGGCUCAACCGAAGAAGUGCAUCGGAAACUGGGAAACUUGAGUGCAGAAGAGGACAGUGGAACUCCAUGUGUAGCGGUGAAAUGCGUAGAUAUAUGGAAGAACACCAGUGGCGAAGGCGGCUGUCUGGUCUGUAACUGACGCUGAGGCUCGAAAGUAUGGGUAGCAAACAGGAUUAGAUACCCUGGUAGUCCAUACCGUAAACGAUGAAUGCUAAGUGUUGGAGGGUUUCCGCCCUUCAGUGCUGCAGCUAACGCAUUAAGCAUUCCGCCUGGGGAGUACGGCCGCAAGGCUGAAACUCAAAGGAAUUGACGGGGGCCCGCACAAGCGGUGGAGCAUGUGGUUUAAUUCGAAGCUACGCGAAGAACCUUACCAGGUCUUGACAUACUAUGCAAAUCUAAGAGAUUAGACGUUCCCUUCGGGGACAUGGAUACAGGUGGUGCAUGGUUGUCGUCAGCUCGUGUCGUGAGAUGUUGGGUUAAGUCCCGCAACGAGCGCAACCCUUAUUAUCAGUUGCCAGCAUUAAGUUGGGCACUCUGGUGAGACUGCCGGUGACAAACCGGAGGAAGGUGGGGAUGACGUCAAAUCAUCAUGCCCCUUAUGACCUGGGCUACACACGUGCUACAAUGGAUGGUACAACGAGUUGCGAACUCGCGAGAGUAAGCUAAUCUCUUAAAGCCAUUCUCAGUUCGGAUUGUAGGCUGCAACUCGCCUACAUGAAGUCGGAAUCGCUAGUAAUCGCGGAUCAGCAUGCCGCGGUGAAUACGUUCCCGGGCCUUGUACACACCGCCCGUCACACCAUGAGAGUUUGUAACACCCAAAGUCGGUGGGGUAACCUUUUAGGAACCAGCCGCCUAAGGUGGGACAGAUGAUUAGGGUG